CCUACGGGAGGCAGCAGUGGGGAAUAUUGCACAAUGGGCGAAAGCCUGAUGCAGCAACGCCGCGUGAGCGAUGAAGGCCUUCGGGUCGUAAAGCUCUGUCCUCAAGGAAGAUAAUGACGGUACUUGAGGCGGAAGCCCCGUCUAACUCCGUGCCAGCAGCCGCGGUAAUACGUAGGGGGCUAGCGUUAUCCGGAAUUACGGGGCGUUAAGGGUGCGUAGGUGGUUUCUUAAGUCAGAGGUGAAAGGCUACGGUUAAACCGUAGUAAGCCUUUGAAACUGGGGAACUUGAGUGGAGGAGAGGAGAGUGGAAUGCCUGGUGUAGCGGUGAAAUGCUUAGAUAUUA
rnacentral:rRNA from 1 species